GUAGUUAAACUAUAAUAUUAAUUUGUCAAAUUAAAGAUAGAGAAAUCCCUCA
rnacentral:tRNA from 1 species